rnacentral:lncRNA from 1 species
AAUCCAGAGAAGCGUGUUCUCAUUUUACACCAAUUCAACAGAUAGCAGUUCUGAUGAGGCGCCCUCGCCCCGUACUGAGCGGGGGAAUCAUAAAAUCCGUGCAAUCCCUGCCAUCAUCACACUAUUGAUCCACUGAGGAGAUGCCACCCCUGCUGCUGAUGAAAACUUGUGAUCUUUGAAGGCAUUUCAAAUCAUCUAUUGGCUGGAACAUGAUUUUUGGACUCUUUCUCUACAGAUGGGUGGCCAGAUCAACCAGGGAUUCUGAAGUUGGAAACAAAAGCAAUGUUUCCCGCGGAUGAUCCGGAGCUGAUAGCGGAAUGUUCUAUCGCUAGAGAUCAGUGUAGCCUUGAGUGUAGCAUCAAGCGGCGAUAGCUACAAUGCAACGAAAUUUAUAUUUUGCACACAGAAGGUUUGACUAAAAAUAUAGAAAA